ensembl:lncRNA LINC00667 long intergenic non-protein coding RNA 667
GGGGAGGCGCAGGAUGGACGCGUUGGCUGUCAUGAUGUAGGACCUCCUGACCUAGAACCAUGCCCGGCGCAGGGAGAACAACGAGCUUACGGACCGGGUGCGGGGGCUGCUGUGCGAGAAAGCCUACCUGCUGGCCCGGGAGCGUUCGCCGGCCCACCUGGUGGCUUUCCCUGGACGUUUAACGGCGACUCCGCCCGGCCUCCCGACUUUUUGAUGCAGGCGUUCUCUUACAUGACUUUCUUCGAGGCUAGAUUCUCGAAAGACAUCCUGAAGGUGGCUUUCUUAAUUAGCUGCCUCACCGGCUGGCGGAGCAGUUCGUAGUCGCCUACAUCGAGAGGGAGAGCCCCGUCCUGGCUCAGUACUGGGGCUUCGUGGACGCGCUGUAGCGGGUCUUCGCCGUCGUGGGUAGGAAACAGUCGGGCCGGAUCCCCGGUGUCUGGGGAGCGGCUGCCGGCCGGGCCCGCGCGAGCCGCUUCACUCCUACAAGCCCGGCUCACUAGUUCCAAGCUGCUGGACUUUGACCCUCGCUGGGAAGCUUGAUCGCCGCCUGUUCUCGCCAAUCUCUAUGCCUUUGCACUGCCCAGCAACCCGGUCACUGCCCAGGACCUGUUAAAAGUUGAAUGGACCUCCCAGAAUCACGCCGCUGCCACCGCCGUUUCUAGAGACGGCUUUUGGCCACCUUUGAGAAUCAGGGUCAAACUUGGAAGGGCCUGCAUUUGUCACACUUCCUCGGACACUAAUUUGGAUAGUUCAGGCCCAGAGACGGCUUCCCGGGUUAGUGUGCCUGACAACACUGAAGAAAAAUUGUGACAUUUUCCUUCCCCAGAAUUACUUCGUUUUAUACAUUUCACUUCUCUUCUGAAAUCACAGCAAUGCCAGUUUGCGCCUUUUGGUCUGAGGAACGCAGGCCCUGGCCACUACCAGGAAAAAAACCUUCUGGAUUUCAGCUUUGGCAAGCUUCCUCUGUUUCUGAGACACCUCCAUCACCUGGGUUACAAUCCCAUCCAUGAUUUUCCCCAUCUCCAGGCAUUUUUCAUGGAAAGCUCCUCAUGCUUUUUAAUUCCAGUUUAUCCAUUUGUGUGGCUUUAACCUCCACAUCCAGGUCUUUCUGGCUAAACUGCAGUAUAUCCACAAUGGGGCCAAUGGACACAUAAGGGAGGCCCUAUCACAGGAACACGAACACCCGGAGUCGCUAGAAAUCAGAUUCCACCGGCUUUGCUUCAGGCCGACUUCCUAAGGAAGGCAUGGUAGCAUCACAGAUGCUGUUUGUCUCAGUUUCCUGAGAAGCCAGUUUCUUAGAGCUGUCAUUCAAGAGUGGGUCAAAUUUGAGAUAUAAAAACCUUUCUCAAGGUAGACUCUUUGGCCCCUAUGCCUAGUAUGUCAGCUGGGCCUCUGAAGCUCUCCUCUUUGAGGUCCUGGCAGGCUCUGGCCCCUGUUGAGAAGGGGAAGCAGUCAUGUGAACUCAUGUGCUGGAAGAAUCCACUCUACCCCUUCCCUGGCUUCUCUGCUGCAAUUUUUGUCUUUAAACGUAUUUUCAGAUCCUUUGCACAUGGCCUGCUAUCAACAAUCCUCUACAAUGAUUCUCAGCAUCACCUAGGGAGCUUAUGUAAAAUCUCAAAUUCCUGGGCCCUAUCCCCAGAGUUUCUUAUCAAUUUCCUUGAUGGAGAACUAUCAAAGCAGUCAAAGCUAUCAAAAUAAAAAAGAAUUCUGAUUGGGUGCAGUGGCUCACACCUGUCAUUCCAGCACUUUGAGAGGCCAAGGUGGGCAGAUCACAUGAGGCCAGGAGUUCAAGACCAGCCUGGCCAACAUGGCAGAAACCCCAUCUCUACUAAAAAUACCAAAAUUAGCCGGGCAUGGUGGAACACACCUGCAAUCCCAGCUACUCGGGAGGCUGAGGCAAGAGAAUCGCUUGAACCUGGGAGGCAGAAGUUGCAGUGAAACAAGUUGGUGCCAAUGCAUUCCAGCCUGGAUGAUGGAGCGAGACUCUGUCUCAAGAAAAAAAAAACAAAAACAAAAACAGAACUCUGCCUCAUAGCGUCUUUUAAGUUAUACACUGGACCUAUCCUUUCCUCACUGACAGACAUUUUAAAAAUUUUUUGGUAAGGCCUAGUUCAUAUAAAAUGUAAUCCAAGCCAAAAGUUAACAAGAAUAAGGGGAGGAAAGGGGACUCCAAUAGCAGAGAAAGGUAUUUACCUGGGAUAUACACUGCAAGAAAAUCAAAGCUAUAAGAAACGUCCAUGAAUAGUAGCCAUAAGGCAUCAGAGUGAUAAAAUUCCUGUCCCUAGGAGGGAAUAUUGGAGUUUGCCAGAGAAACAGAAUGAGAGAGACAGAGAGGUUUAUUGUAGGAAUUGGCUCAUAUGAUUACGGAGGCUGAGAAGACCCACGAUCUGCCAUCUGCAAGCUGGAGAAUCAGGAAAGCUGGAGGUGUAAUUCAGUCAAGUCCAAUGGCCAGAGAAGCAAGUGUACUGAUAUCCAAGAGCAGGAGAAAAUAGAUGUCCCAGAACAAGCAGAGAGGCUGAUUUUGUCCUUCCUCUGCCUUUUUGUUUCAUAUGGGGCACUGAAUGGACUGAUGCCCAUCCACAUUAGUGAGGGUGGAUCUUCUUUACUCAGUCUACCAGUAGAAAUGUCAAUGACUUCCAGAAACACCCUCACCAACACACGUGGAAAUAAUGUUUUACCAGGUAUCUGGGCAUCCCUUGGUUCACUCAAGUUGACACAAAAUUAACCAUCACAGAAGGAGACUGGCCUUACUCUGAAAUUAGGAAACUAAAGAAGUGACCAGAAUGGAGACUAGGUAGAGACAACUAGUUCUCUACCAAACAUGUACAGUUAUUCGUUGGUAUCUGAAGGGGAUUGGUUCCAGGAACUCUCAGGGAUACCAAAAUCUGCAGGUGCUCAAGUCAUUUAUAUAAAAUAUUACAGUAUUUGCAUAUAACCUUUGCACAUCUUCCAUAUACUUUAAAUCAUCUCUACAUUACUUAUAAUAAUGAAUGUGUAAAUGCUAUGAAAAUAGUUACUACACUAUUGUUUAUUUGUAUUUUUAUUGAAUUGUUUUGGGGUGGGGGGCAGCUGUAUCUUUCUUAGUAAUAGAACCCCUGGUUUUAGCUGGGCACAUGACUGCCCUCAAUAAAGAUUAAAGUACCCCAGCCUUCCUUGAGAUUGUGGCCAUGUGACUGAACUUUAGACAGUGAGAUAUAAGCAGAUAUCUUCUGUGGCAGUGUUAGGAAACUAUUAAAGACAGUAAGAACAUUGCCCUUUGCCUUCUUUUUCCUUUCUUCAUUUUUCUGCCUGGAAUGCAAAUGUGAUGGCUAACACCCUAGCAGCCAUUUUAGAUUAUGAAGAUGAGAGUCACUCCCCAGGAAGGGUGGACCUGAAAGCUGGAUUCUAGAUGUGGAAUGACAAUACCAGCCCUGGACUACCUACCUGUAGGCUGUGUGUGUGUGUGUGUGAUUGACAGAGAGAGAGAGAGAUAGAUACCACAAGUAACACAAAGCAUCAUACCUGGGACUGGGAAGGUUAAUGUUUAAACAUUUUAAAUGUGGCAUUGGUUUGUUGAAGACAGUCAAGCAGUAGGUGCUGCAGGCUUUGUUGAGGCUAGAAAGCUGUUGGUCUUUAUUAGGUGAUGGCAAAACAAUGGAUCACAUUUUCAUGUGCUGUGUCUUGGGAGGCAAAUGAUGAGAAUGUAGGAUUGGGGAAAAUGGUAAGGAAAAUCCAAAAUGUUCAUGUUUUCUAACCCCUUCUUGCCAAUCUUAAAAGAAGGACAAACAGGCUAGAUUAAGCAAGUCUACAGUUACAAUUGGAAGGAAACACAGCCGUACUAAGGAAGUACUCUGUCUGUGGCCUGCAGUCUAGUUUGACUAGGUCCUGUAUUUGAGCUUUGAAAGAGUAAAGAAUACAAGUGCUCGUAUACCCCUGAAGUAGUUACCAGCAGUGACUGCAAGGAGGUAAUCUUAUGGGAUGAAACUAUAACUCUGUAUUAACCAUCAUAUAUAGCAUAUAUGUGUAUAUGUAUGUGUGUGUGUGUAUAUGUGUAUAUAAAUAUAUGUGUGUGUAUAUACACACAUGUACACACCCUACAACCCAGUGAUUUCAAAAAAUUAAACAUUUGUUUAGCUCAUGAAUCUGUGGGUUGGGUGAACAUUUCUAUUGGUCUUGGCUGGGCUCACCUGUACCCAGUCAGCUGCAGGGUCUAGCUCUUCUUAUCUUGGCUGGGAUCUCACACAUGUCUAGGAUCAGCUGCUUUACUAGUCUAGGAUUGUCUUGGCUGAGACAGGUGGACUACUCAGUUCUCCUCCACUGCCUUAUCCUUCAGCUGGCCAGCCCAGAAAUGUUGCCAUGUUUACAGCAUAAGAGCAAGCAAGAAAGAAUAAUAUGCAACCACUUUUCCAAGCCUAAGGUGAAAGGGCGGGCAGAACCUGUGGUGUUAGGAGGCAACUCAUACCAGCCCAUGGGUCUACCGUUUAAUUUUCAGAAAUUUGGCAAGCUGAUUGUUAACACAGCUGUUGUUUAAUUUAUGUACUUGUAAUUAAAUAAUUUACAUUAAAACAA